UACGGGGGGGGCAAGCGUUGUCCGGAAUUAUUGGGCGUAAAGAGCUCGUAGGCGGUUUGUCGCGUCUGCUGUGAAAUCCCGAGGCUCAACCUCGGGCUUGCAGUGGGUACGGGCAGACUAGAGUGCGGUAGGGGAGACUGGAAUUCCUGGUGUAGCGGUGAAAUGCGCAGAUAUCAGGAGGAACACCGGUGGCGAAGGCGGGUCUCUGGGCCGAUAUUGACGCUGAGGAGCGAAAGCGUGGGGAGCGAACAGG
rnacentral:rRNA from 1 species